CGAGCUUGCUCACAGGCACAUCAUAUCCAUAACACCUGUGCACUUGUCGGAUGGCUUAGUGAAGACCGCAAGGUUGGAUCUAUCCAUCUACUUUACAUAACAAUUCUGUAACAAAUGUAGUCUUAUUAUAACAUAAUAAAACUUUCAACAACGGAUCUCUUGGCUCUCGCAUCGAUGAAGAACGCAGCGAAAUGCGAUAAGUAAUGUGAAUUGCAGAAUUCAGUGAAUCAUCGAAUCUUUGAACGCACCUUGCGCUCCUUGGUAUUCCGAGGAGCAUGCCUGUUUGAGUGUCAUGAAAACCCUCAACCCUAGAUUGGUUAAAACCUUUCUUUGGUUUGGAUUUGGACGUUUGCCGAUGAUAAGUCGGCUCGUCUUAAAAGUAAUAGCUGGAUCUGUCUCGCGACAUGGUUUGACUUGGCGUAAUAAGUAUUUCGCUAAGGACAUCUUCGGAUGGCCGCGUUGCAGGACUAAAGACCGCUUUCUAAUCCAUUGAUCUUACGAUUAAUAUUCUUGACAUCUGGCCUCAAAUCAGGUAGGACUACCCGCUGAACUUAA
rnacentral:rRNA from 1 species